GACGAACGCUGGCGGCGUGCCUAAUACAUGCAAGUCGAACGCAGUGGGGACGGGUGAGUAACACGUGGGUAACCUCCCAUCAGAGGGGAUAACACUUGGAAACAGGUGCUAAACCGAUACUGCUGGAUGGACUCGCGGUGCAUUAGCUAGUUGGUGAGGUAACGGCUCACCAAGGCCACGAUGCAUAGCGGGCCUGAGAGGAUGAUCAGCAACACUGGGACUGAGACACGGCACAGACUCCGACGGGAGGCAGCAGUAGGGAAUCUUCGACAAUUGACGAAAGUCUGACCGAGAAACGCCGCGUGUGUGAAGAAUGUUUUCGGAUCGUAAAACACUGUUAUCAGAGAAGCGGUAUCUAACGAAAAAGCAACGGCUAACUACGUGCCAGCCGCCGCGGUAAUUC
rnacentral:rRNA from 1 species